rfam:Geobacteraceae bacterium GWC2_55_20 gwc2_scaffold_3872, whole genome shotgun sequence.
GCCCGAAUGGUGGAACUGGUAGACACAAGGGACUUAAAAUCCCUCGGCAGAAAUGCUGUGCCGGUUCGAUUCCGGCUUCGGGCA